AUUGAACGCUGGCGGCAUGCCUUACACAUGCAAGUCGAACGGCAGCACGGGAGCAAUCCUGGUGGCGAGUGGCGAACGGGUGAGUAAUAUAUCGGAACGUGCCCAGUCGUGGGGGAUAACGUAGCGAAAGCUACGCUAAUACCGCAUACGAUCUACGGAUGAAAGCGGGGGAUCGCAAGACCUCGCGCGAUUGGAGCGGCCGAUAUCAGAUUAGCUAGUUGGUGGGGUAAGAGCUCACCAAGGCGACGAUCUGUAGCUGGUCUGAGAGGACGACCAGCCACACUGGAACUGAGACACGGUCCAGACUCCUACGGGAGGCAGCAGUGGGGAAUUUUGGACAAUGGGCGCAAGCCUGAUCCAGCAAUGCCGCGUGCAGGAUGAAGGCCUUCGGGUUGUAAACUGCUUUUGUACGGAACGAAACGGUGAGCUCUAAUAAAGCUUGCUAAUGACGGUACCGUAAGAAUAAGCACCGGCUAACUACGUG
rnacentral:rRNA from 1 species